AAACCACAUGGCCGUUCACGAGGUUUUGGGUUUGUUUCUUUCCGGACCCAACAGGAUGCUCAAAGUGCUAUAAAUGACUUAACUGGGAAGUGGCUUGGCAGUAGGCAGAUCCGGUGCAAUUGGGCUACCAAAGGUGCUGGCACUAGC